rnacentral:rRNA from 1 species
CAGGAUGAACGCUGGCGGCGUGCCUAAUACAUGCAAGUCGAGCGAAUGGAUUAAGAGCUUGCUCUUAUGAAGUUAGCGGCGGACGGGUGAGUAACACGUGGGUAACCUACCCAUAAGACUGGGAUAACUCCGGGAAACCGGGGCUAAUACCGGAUAAUAUUUUGAACUGCAUAGUUCGAAAUUGAAAGGCGGCUUCGGCUGUCACUUAUGGAUGGACCCGCGUCGCAUUAGCUAGUUGGUGAGGUAACGGCUCACCAAGGCGACGAUGCGUAGCCGACCUGAGAGGGUGAUCGGCCACACUGGGACUGAGACACGGCCCAGACUCCUACGGGAGGCAGCAGUAGGGAAUCUUCCGCAAUGGACGAAAGUCUGACGGAGCAACGCCGCGUGAGUG